rnacentral:rRNA from 1 species
GCUUACGUUCACACCACCCUGAAAACACCCAGUCUCGUCUGAUCUUGGAAACUAAGCAGUGUCGGGCUUGGUUAGUACUUGGAUGGGAGACUGCCUGGGAAUCCCGGGAGCUGUAGGCUUUA